rnacentral:lncRNA from 1 species
ACCCCUAGCAGCCGUCACCCUUUUGUGCCUUGCCCCAAGAGAAGAGAGGAAGAAAAAAGAAGAGAAGAGAGGGGAGAUGAGGGCAUACCGUCGCCCAUCAUCGUCGUUCCUCUCCAAGAAUUGGUGGCUACACUCCGGAUCAUGCCUAGUACAUCUUUCUUCUUCGAUGAAGGCAAGUGAAUGUAGCAGUGGUUGCUACCGUUUUGACUUGUUGUUUUUUUUAUCGCCUACGCUCUAAUAUUCAGAAUUAUGGAAUUCUUUCAUAAUUGAACUCUAUGGUGAUGCUUUACUUGCUUGUAUUAUACUGAUGCUCAAUCAUAUAUUGAUGAUGAUUAUGGUUCGAGUAUGACCCAUGAGAUUAAUUUACACCCCUGAAGGCAGAUAAAGUAUUAUUUGAGGUUUGUAUUGUAUCUGAAGGCAGAUGAAGUAUUAUUUGAGGUUUGUUUUGUAUCUGAAGGAAGUGAAGUAUAUUGACAAAUGCAGCAUGCCAUAUGCAUUACAUUAUUCAUUUGCAUCUGAAGUUUGGUCGUGACCUAUGGUCCGACCGUACCGGUACAACUUAGCAUCGUACGUUGCCCGAGGAGGGGUACGAUGCGGCUUCAUACCCUUAGAGGUAUGAAGGUAGAGGACAUAUGCAUUGCAUUUAUAUGCAUUCAUUGAAGUGAUAUUAGCAGAUGAUGUGGUUUUAUAUUCUCAGAGGUAUGAGGGCAGAUGACCUACACAUUGCAUUCCUAUGCAUACAUUGAAGUGAUAUCUGCAGGUAUUGUUGACGCAGGGAAGGGUUAUACAACCUAUUGUGGUUGUUCGAGGAAAUGAGAUGGUAUUGGUUAUAUUGGGACUAUUGAGUUCAAUAUCUACAAGUAUUUCUGAUCUCAAUUGGGAUUCCUUUAAAAUGUUGUUUAAUUCAAUUUGUGGUUGAAAUAUCUCGUCAAAAUAAUUUGCUUGCUGAGAUGUAUCAUCUCACUCUUGCAUUACUCAAUGCAGGUAUUUGAUUCAUGUUGGGAAUGAGGGAAGUAGCAGCACGUCCACCUUCACUAUUAUAAUAACGCUACCCAGUUGCAGCCAUGAUUUAAUUAGAAACUCGAUG